UGGGAUUUCAGCUCAGGGGUAGAGCGCUCACUUAGCAUGUGUGAGGCCCUGGGUUCGAUCCUCAGCAUCACAU
rfam:Ictidomys tridecemlineatus contig069349, whole genome shotgun sequence.